rnacentral:rRNA from 1 species
GACGAACCGUGCGAACGUUGUUCGGAAUCACUGGGCUUAAAGGGCGCGUAGGCGGUCUAGCCAGUCCGGGGUGAAAGCCUCCAGCUCAACUGGAGAAGUGCCUUGGAUACUGCUGGACUCGAGUGAGGUAGGGGUGAUGGGAACUUCCGGUGGAGCGGUGAAAUGCGUUGAUAUCGGAAGGAACGCCGGUGGCGAAAGCGCAUCACUGGACCUCUUCUGACGCUGAGGCGCGAAAGCCAGGGGAGCAAACGGG